AUUUUGGACAAUGGGGGAAACCCUGAUCUAGCCAUCCCGCGUGUAUGAUGACGGCCUUAGGGUGUUAAAGUACUAUUGGCUGAUAAGAAAAGGUAUCCCCUAAUUCGGGAUCCUGCAGACGGUAUCAGCAGCAUAAGCACCGGCCAACUACGUGCCAGCAGCCGCGGUAAUACGUAGGGUGCAAGCGUUAAUCGGAAUUACUGGGCGUAAAGCGUGUGUAGGCGGUUCGGAAAGAAAGAUGUGACAUCCCAGGGCUCAACCGUGGAACUGCAUUUUUAACUGCCGAGCUAGAGUAUGUCAGAGGGGGGUAGAAUUACACGUGUAGCAGUGAAAUGCGUAGAUAUGUGGAGGAAUACCGAUGGCGAAGGCAGCCCACUGGGAUAAUACUGACGCUCAGACACGAAAGCGUGGGGAGCAAACAGG
rnacentral:rRNA from 1 species